AACACACAGCUGGGACAGGCAGGAUUCGUGUUGGCUCCGGCUUUGAUGAGCUGUUGUUCUUGCUGUCCGAGCCACGGCUGCCUUUUACGUCCGUUCUAGAAGCCUGCCGUCGUGCCCCCAAGUCUUCGAGACGGCCGUAAGCAAGUAAGUAAAGGCCUGUUAAGAUGAUGCUGAAAAUACAUCACGAGCUGAGCACCGACUCCACUGGCACGGGUGGUCGUGUUGGAGCGCACCCUUGACCGUCACAGCGGUGAGCGGAUGGCCUCAUGAUUUCAUUAGACGACUUCCAGGGGAGAAACAGUUGUUAGUGGACUCACGUGCUGGAGAGGUUUCCAAACUUCUGUACGUUGGGAUGCCUUCCUGUUCUUCCUGCGACUUCCUUCUUUCCUUGACCCCAACGGCUAAAUCACAAGUCAGGGUGGGUUUGAGGAGAGUGAACAGGGGUGGUGGUCCAGCGGCACCACACGGCCUGGACCUGGGUUCCGUUUUCCGGGCUCUGACUUUAUCAUUCUCGCAUUGCUGCUGACCAUUUACCUGCUUGGCGCGGUCCCCUUCUUUGUGGUCUCCGCUUCCUUUCUCGAACUGUGACUCGGGAUUUUGUUGGCUACAAGUAACAGAAACCCCACCCCAGACUGGCUCCAGCAGACAAAAAGCACGAGUUUGAAAAUUGCAGUGCUAGGAGUAGCUUCAGGUGUGGCUGGAUCCAGGGGCUCUGGCGUGGUCAGCGUUCCCUGUCUCCAUGCGUCAGCUUCGCCUUCCCCUGUGUUGACUGCAUUCUCGGAUGGCUUCUCCCCUCACAGUGGCAGCCUGGAUACUUACGGCUCCAGGAUGGUGUCGUCUCAGCGCUGGGAGGGGAGAGAGAUCUGCUCCCUGGUGCUUCCAACCUGAGUUCCCAUGUUGAAGGUCAUUGGACCAUUUAGAUCAGGAGGAGAGCAUGUGCUGAUUGGCCAGGCCUGGGUCACGUGAUCCCUCCCAGGUGUGGAAGCAGCUCUCCUUGGUUGCUGGGGCGGGUUGGGUGGGGGGUCCGGGAGGAGCGCGUGGGUUUCUUUUCGGGAGUGGGGGGCAGCGACCAGCCCCUCUCUUUCUUCUCAUCUGUUCACAGGUGCUGGCCCGUCCUCCUCCCUCCCUUGCUCCUCUCUAACACCCUCUGUCUCUCUGCUCCCCAGCCCCAGCCCAGCUACAAGCCGUGGCCUGGUGACUAUUAGGGUGGAUUUCCAGAUUGAGAAAAUCGGGGCGGGAGGGAAGCGCUCUGUUUUUCCGUGACACAAACUCUGGAAAGCAAAGCCUUGAAGUCCCACUUGGCUUUCAAAAGUCUGCGAGACUCCGGAUGAACGUUUAGCUGCCCCCGCCCUCCACAGCUGCAGCCCCCCGUGCUGGGCCAGGACUGGCUGGACAGAAGGGCUCCUGUGGGGGGGGGGGGGGCUUGCUCCUCCCCCCCCCAUCACCUCUCUCCUCCUUCCCCUCUCCUUCCCCCUUCACGCCUCACCCACUGCUCACCGCCAGUCCGUCAGAGCUGGGCUCACAUCCUUUCUCCCUGGGACACCUGUUGUGCCAAUCUGGACUGACUUGUUCCCAUCUGUGGUGGAUACAUCCUACAGUGGCCCCCAUAAUUCCUGCUCUUAGCACCCAUAGUUUUGCAUUACCCCCUGCUUUGGAUGGGGGUGGGACCUGUGGCCUGCUUCUGACCAACGGAAGAUGGCAAAGGUGAAGAGAUUUUGCAGAUGCAGUUAAGGUCCCUAAUCAGUUGACUUUGCAUCGAUCAAAAGGAAGACUAUGCUGGUGGGCCUGACCUAAUCAGGCGAGUCCUUCCCUGAAAUCAAGCAGCAGAGACUCACGGCUUUGGAGAAGCAAGCUACCGUGACUUCUAGAGCCUCGAAGAAAUGAGUUCUGCCAUAAACCUGAAGAAGUUUGGCAGGGGAUCCUUCCCGAGUCGGGCCUCCAGAUGAGAACACAGCCUGACCUUCACCUUGAUUGAGCCUGCGAGAUCCUGAGCUGGGCACGAGCUAGGCCAUGCGUAGCCUCCUGGCCCACAGAGAUUUCACCCGUUGUCCCCGUAAUGUCCUUCACGGCAGAACAAAACCCCGUAUCACACCUUACACGCAGUUGUCAUGCCUCCGGAGCCUCUGUUAAUCGCACGCACUGCCCGAAACUUCCUUUGCCUUCUGUGACGCUCGUCUUUUGAAGAGGCCAGGCCAGCCGCUUUGCAGCGGGGCCCCUUGGAUGGAGCUGCCUGGCGUGAUUCGGUCGGGAGCUUGCAGCAGGACCACAUGGAGGUGAUGCUGGACGCUUCUUGCCGCGUCGUAUCUGGGGCCGCGUGCUGUGGACUGGUCCCAUUUCUGGCAGCGUUAGCUUUGGCCCAGUGUGAGGCCGGGUCUGCCAGGGGGCCCCGCUAUGAACUUGCUCUUGUAGCCGUAGGCUUUCCACCUCGAGAGUGGGAAUGGGUGUGGGGGUGGCCAGCGCAUGAGAUGACCACGGUCUUGCACGUCUGACUUUGUGAACUGCUCCCCCCCCCCCCCCCCCGCAGUCAUUGCGCAUCUUGAGUUGACGGGGAGGAAGGAGGUCCUCAGGAGACGCAGAGUUGCGUUCUCUCCUCUUAGCUACACUUCUAAGGACCUACUGUGUGGCAGUCUCCUGGGCAAGACCCCAUGGGAGGGAGGGAGCUAAUAUUUCUUGCACACCUACUGUGGGCCACACUUUGGGUGAGGCGCUCACAUCCACUCUCGUUGAAAUUAGCAUCUCAGCUCUAAGGGCUGGUACUGAGUAGUGAUGGGGGGGGGGGGCGGGGACUUGAUUCAUUUCGAGAACCAGAGAAACCAUUCACAGCUUCCCCGAUUUCUCAAUCUGCCUCACCUCACUUGAGUAUGGUUUUUUUUUUUAAAAACAUCUGAACUAUUUUCCAUAUCAAGUGCUUCAAGGACCUAAUUAUGAACUUCAUUAUAAUUGUUCAUUAGUUAUAUUUUGUUCAAUUACUUUAACAAGAUGCCAAAUGGAACACAAAGCCAGCAAUUAGCAUUAUAUAAUUGUAACGAGGCACUCAAAUUGGGUUAUAGAGCGUUGUUUUUGCCUGUGUGUUUUCUCCCCAGGGGAAGACAGACUGACGGAAGGUGAUGGCUGGCCGUCUGUCUGCUCAUCAACUUCGUCCAAGCUGUCAGGGGUGGGAGCAGCCUUUUCUUUUGUACAAAGGUCAAGUUUGGAAAAACGGCUACGUAUAGGGACGGUGCUCAAAAUGUUCCAGAGAACGUUCUAUCAUAUUAUGUUAUCGAUGAUGAUUAUAUCAUCGAUGACGAGCUUUA